CUUUCAUACAUGGGGGAAAGCCAAUUCAGUGGAAAGAAAAGCCAUGACCCAGGCAGAAGUAAGGGAUUUAGAGGAAGAGCGAAGAAGGGCAAAGGCAGUGGAACUUGGAUCCCAGGGUGCCUGGACUCGGUGGGAUCUCCCUAAGCGGAAAGUGUCAUGGAAUGAUCUCUGGAGGCUGGAGCCAUACCGAAUAUCCUUUUUACUGAGGGUCGUUUAUGACACCCUACCUUCCCCUGUGAACCUCCACAGAUGGGGGUUAAGGGAUGACCCUCUGUGCAAGCUCUGCAGGAAGAAAGGAACAAUGGCCCAUGUCUUGACAGGUUGCAGCACAGCACUUGCUCAGGGCAGAUACAGAUGGCGCCAUGACAAAGUCCUAACAGUCCUUGCUGAUAUUUUGGAGCAGGAGAGAACCAGGAAAUGCCAAAAUAAGAUCAAGGCGCCCCCUACAAUAGCUUUUGUAAAGGAGGGUUCGAAGCUACCAGGUCCCAGUAAGAUCAGUGCAAGCAUUUUGCAGUCUGCCCAAGCAUGGGAGCUUAGGGUUGACCUAAAGAAAAGACUUCAGUUUCCUGACUUUGUCCACACUACCUUGAGACCAGACGCAGUCCUUUUCUCUUACAAUGGAAAGAAGAUCAUCCUGGUUGAGCUUACAGUGCCAUGGGAAGAGGGGUGUGAAGAGGCAUUUGAGAGGAAAUCUGAACGUUACAGGGAGCUGGUGCAAAACUGCAGAGAGAAAGGCUGGCAGACAUGGCUGUACCCUGUUGAGGUGGGAUGCAGGGGGUAUCCAGCCCAAUCAGUCUGGAAACUGCUGACAGCUGUUGGACUGAAAGGAUCAGAACGAAAAAAGGCGGUGCGAAGACUUGGGGAGGCAGCAGAGAGAGCCUCCUGUUGGAUUUGGAAUAGGAGGGAGGUGUCGAGCUGGCAGCCAGGAGGGAGUGAGUAGUGGCUGGCCACCACUGCUGACCCGCCAAAAGGAGAAUGUUAUGGUCAAGGGUCAAAACACUCAAUGAUAGUUGGUAACCAUCUGAUGACACAACCUCCUGGCUAAGAGCCAGUCAUUGCAAAAUGACUGAAGGAGUAGCAUCUAAGGAUGUAUGCUAUCACCAGCCUGGAUAUUGCAAACCGCUCCCUACAGAGGUGGCGCUGAUGCUAAAAUUAAGAGUACCUCCUGAAUGCCCUUAUGUCAUAAAAAUGUAUGACUGGUACGAGGAACGCACCUGGGUCAUGCUUGUCCUCGAGUACCAAAGGGACUGGAAGGACUUGUAUUCCUAUAUCGAUAAAAAGGGAAUGAAGGAAGACAAAGCUCACCACCUUAUGCUUCAAUUAGUAAGAGCAGAUCAACACUGUUGAAGCAUGAAGUGCUUCACAAUGAUAUCCAUUCUGGAAACAUCAUGGUGGAUGAAAGUGGUUUGCACCUGAAGUUAACAAACUUUAGGAUGGCUCGUCUAGUCAAAAGCACUGGCUACACAUCCAAACCACGUGAAGGAGCUAAAUGUUGCAUUCCACCUGAGGCCUUAACGAGGUUGCAAUACUUGGCCAUGCCAGCAACCGUCUGGGCCUUAGGUGUGGUGCUCUAUGAGAUGGUGUACGGAUUUCCACCCUUGCAACGAUUAGGCGUAGUAAGGAUUACGGGACGCAAUUUAACCAUGAAUGCCCGUGAUCUCAUUCGACGAUGCCUGUACAUGAAUCCAGAUCAACGACUAACAAUCGAUCACAUUUUAGCACACGACUGGUUUAAAUACAUCAUAACACAGGUUCCGGCGACCCCAGCGGUUGCGAAUUAUCUUGUGCCAAAAGGUUCUGAAUCUUUUAAUGCUGAAUACGAGUAUAAAACGAGUAAAGAUUAUUUUCUUGGGAAAGGUGCCUAUGGCAGGGUCUAUAGAGGAACCCGUAAAGCUGAUGGCAAAUUGGUCGCCAUCAAGCGUGUGAGGCUACGUGAGGAAGAAAGAUGUAUUUGUUAUGCAAGUCAUCAAAACUAAGGCUUUCCAGGCUUUCAGCAUGGAUAUUCCAGACCACUUGUUACAGAGGUUGCUUUAAUGUUGAAGUUAAAAGAAGCUCCUGAAUGCCCCUAUGUUAUAAGAAUGAUUGACUGGUAUGAGGAACGCAACUACCUCAUGUUUGUUCUGGAGUACCUAGACGAAUGGAUGCCCUUGCGUAAUUAUAUCUCUACACCUGGAAAACUGCU